GCCGAAGUGGUGGAAUUGGUAGACACGUCGGUCUCAAAAACCGAUGCCCUCAGGGCGUGCCGGUUCGAAUCCGGCCUUCGGUA
rnacentral:tRNA from 1 species